rnacentral:rRNA from 1 species
AUAUUGGACAAUGGGCGAAAGCCUGAUCCAGCCAUGCCGCGUGUGUGAAGAAGGUCUUNGGAUUGNANAGCACUUUAAGUUGGGANGAAGGGCAGUAAGUUAAUACCUUGCUGUUUUGACGUUACCUACAGCAUAAGAACCGGCUACCUUCGUGCCAGCAGCCGCGGUAAUACGAAGGGUGCAAGCGUUAAGCGGAAUUACUGGGCGUAAAGCGCGCGUAGGUGGUUUGUUAAGUUGGAAGUGAAAGCCCCGGGCUCAACCUGGGAACUGCUUUCAUAACUGCUGAGCUAGAGUACGGUAGAGGGUAGUGGAAUUUCCUGUGUAGCGGUGAAAUGCGUAGAUAUAGGAAGGAACACCAGUGGCGAAGGCGACUACCUGGACUGAUACUGACACUGAGGUGCGAAAGCGUGGGGAGCAAAC